UAGCGUAGGGUGCGAGCGUUUAAUCGGAAUUAUUGGGCGUAAAGGGCUCGUAGGCGGUUUGUCGCGUCGGGAGUGAAAUCCACUGGCUUAACUGGUGGCUUGCUUUCGAAUACGGGCAGACUGGAGGUAUGCAGGGGAGAACGGAAUUCCUGGUGUAGCGGUGAAAUGCGUAGAUAUCUGGAGGAACACCGGUGGCGAAGGCGGCAAUCCUGGACCGGUAUUGGACGCUGAGGCGCGAAAGCCAGGGGAGCAAAGCGGGGAUUAAGAUGACCC
rnacentral:rRNA from 1 species